GGUCAGGAUAGCUCAGUUGGUAGAGCAGAGGACUGAAA
rnacentral:tRNA from 3 species